GCGAAAAGAACCCCGGCGAGGGGAGUGAAAAAGAACCUGAAACCGUGUACGUACAAGCAGUGGGAGCACCUUCGGGUGUGACUGCGUACCUUUUGUAUAAUGGGUCAGCGACUUAUAUUCUGUAGCAAGGUUAACCGUAUAGGGGAGCCGCAGGGAAACCGAGUCUUAACUGGGCGUUAAGUUGCAGGGUAUAGACCCGAAACCCGGUGAUCUAGCCAUGGGCAGGUUGAAGGUUGGGUAACACUAACUGGAGGACCGAACCGACUAAUGUUGAAAAAUUAGCGGAUGACUUGUGGCUGGGGGUGAAAGGCCAAUCAAACCGGGAGAUAGCUGGUUCUCCCCGAAAGCU
rnacentral:rRNA from 1 species